GCAUAUCAAUAAGCGGAGGAAAAGAAACCAACAGGGAUUGCCCUAGUAACGGCGAGUGAAGCGGCAACAGCUCAAAUUUGAAAUCUGGCGUAAGCCCGAGUUGUAAUUUGUAGAGGAUGCUUCUGGGUAGCGGCCGGUCUAAGUUCCUUGGAACAGGACGUCAUAGAGGGUGAGAAUCCCGUAUGUGACUGGCUUGCACCCUCCACGUAGCUCCUUCGACGAGUCGAGUUGUUUGGGAAUGCAGCUCUAAAUGGGAGGUAAAUUUCUUCUAAAGCUAAAUACCGGCCAGAGACCGAUAGCGCACAAGUAGAGUGAUCGAAAGAUGAAAAGCACUUUGGAAAGAGAGUUAAAAAGCACGUGAAAUUGUUGAAAGGGAAGCGCCCGCAACCAGACUUUGCGGCGGUGUUCGGCUGGUCUUCUGACCGGUUUACUCGCCGCCGUGAGGCCAUCAUCGUCUGGGACCGCUGGAUAAGACCUGAGGAAUGUAGCUCCCUUCGGGGUGUGUUAUAGCCUCUGGUGAUGCAGCGCGUCUCGGGCGAGGUCCGCGCUUCGGCAAGGAUGAUGGCGUAAUGGUUGUCGGCGGCCCGUCUUGAAACACGGACCAAGGAGUCUAACAUCUAUGCGAGUGUUCGGGUGUCAAACCCCUACGCGUAAUGAAAGUGAACGGAGGUGGGAACUUUUUGUGCACCAUCGACCGAUCCUGAUGUCCUCGGAUGGAUUUGAGUAAGAGCAUAGCUGUUGGGACCCGAAAGAUGGUGAACUAUGCCUGAAUAGGGUGAAGCCAGAGGAAACUCUGGUGGAGGCUCGCAGCGGUUCUGACGUGCAAAUCGAUCGUCAAAUUUGGGUAUAGGG
rnacentral:rRNA from 1 species